ensembl:snoRNA
GGUCAGUGAUACGUUGGCAUGUAUUACCUGAAUUUACUGCUGCUGUGUAAUGACACUUCAGCUCUAGAAUUACACUGGGACCUU